GUAGGGGGCAAGCGUUGGUCCGGAAUCAUUGAGCGUAAAGAGCGUGUAGGCGGUCCGAUAAGUCGGUUGUGAAAGUCAAGGGCUCAACCCUUGAAUGCCGACCGAUACUGUCGGGCUAGAGUCCGGAAGAGGCGAGUGGAAUUCCUGGUGUAGCGGUGAAAUGCGCAGAUAUCAGGAGGAACACCAAUGGCGAAGGCAGCUCGCUGGGACGGUACUGACGCUGAGGCGCGAAAGCUAGGGGAGCAAACGGG
rnacentral:rRNA from 1 species